AUAGCUUCUAAACAUUUACAUACUAGUUUCAGUUCAGUUCUUCAACUUAAUUUUAACUUGUAUAUAAUGUUGGCUUAAAUGGGCCAGCAUCCUGCCCUGUGGCGAGAGGCCAUGUGGGCCGAGUCAUGUUCGAAAUGGCGCGAGGCUGGAUUGGGCCGAGUCAUGUUCGAAGUGGCGUGAGGCCAGGUGGGUCGAGUCACAAUCGAGACCCGUGAGCGCUGUUUCUGUACGCUUUAAGUGAAUUGGUUGCGUAUUUCUAACAGCUAGAGCUUUUGGAAUUAAUGGUUAGCACCAACGAUCCGACACAUAAAACACCCCAACUUAAGAACUUGUACAAGUUAUUCCUAGUGCAAGUGUCAACAGACUUAAUAUAUAGUUAGUACCCGAGAUUUCAAGUUCGAAGUUUAAUUUUUUUCUACAAUUCUAGCUAAGUUCAAAGUUUAACCGUUUCACAUUUCUAUUUAAGUUUACUAAUUUCAAACUAGAUAUAGUAUGCUACUUUUCUUUCUCUUCCUAAAAAAAAAAAAGAAAAAAGAAAAAAGAAAAAAGAAAAAAGAAAGAAGGUGAAUAAUG
rnacentral:lncRNA from 1 species